rnacentral:rRNA from 1 species
UGCAGUCGACGGUGAGGUCAAGCUUGCUUGACUUGAUCAGUGGCGAACGGGUGAGUAACACGUGAGUAACCUGCCCCAGACUCUGGGAUAACUUCGGGAAACCGUGGCUAAUACCGGAUAUGACACCAACUCGCAUGGGUAUGGUGUGGAAAGUUUUUCGGUCUGGGAUGGACUCGCGGCCUAUCAGCUUGUUGGUGAGGUAGUGGCUCACCAAGGCGACGACGGGUAGCCGGCCUGAGAGGGCGAUCGGCCACACUGGGACUGAGACACGGCCCAGACUCCUACGGGAGGCAGCAGUGGGGAAUAUUGCACAAUGGGCGGAAGCCUGAUGCAGCGACGCCGCGUGAGGGAUGAAGGCCUUCGGGUUGUAAACCUCUUUCAGCAGGGAAGAAGCGAAAGUGACGGUACCUGCAGAAGAAGCACCGGCUAACUACGUGCCAGCAGCCGCGGUAAUACGUAGGGUGCGAGCGUUGUCCGGAAUUAUUGGGCGUAAAGAGCUUGUAGGUGGUUUGUCGCGUCUGCUGUGAAAAUCCGAGGCUCAACCUCGGACUUGCAGUGGGUACGGGCAGACUAGAGUGUGGUAGGGGAGACUGGAAUUCCUGGUGUAGCGGUGGAAUGCGCAGAUAUCAGGAGGAACACCGAUGGCGAAGGCAGGUCUCUGGGCCAUUACUGACACUGAGAAGCGAAAGCAUGNGGAGCGAACAGGAUUAGAUACCCUGGUAGUCCAUGCCGUAAACGGUGGGAACUAGGUGUGGGUCUCAUUCCACGAGAUCCGUGCCGCAGCUAACGCAUU